rnacentral:rRNA from 1 species
GUGUCAGCAGCCGCGGUAAUACGGGGGGUGCAAGCGUUGUUCGGAAUUAUUGGGCGUAAAGAGCGUGUAGGCGGCCGGAUGUGUCGGAUGUGAAAGCCCUGGGCUUAACCCAGGAAGUGCAUUUGAAACUGUCCGGCUCGAGUAGGGGAGAGGGAAGUGGAAUUCCUGGUGUAGAGGUGAAAUUCGUAGAUAUCAGGAGGAACACCGGUGGCGAAGGCGACUUCCUGGCCCUAUACUGACGCUGAGACGCGAGAGCGUGGGUAGCAAACAGGAUUAGAUACCCUGGUAGUCCACGCCGUAAACGAUGUUCACUAGGUGUUGGGGGUAUUGACCCCCUCAGUGCCGGAGCUAACGCAUUAAGUGAACCGCCUGGGGAGUACGGUCGCAAGACUAAAACUCAAAUGAAUUGACGGGG